AGCAGCCGCAGUAAAUUUCCCAGCUCCAAUAGCGUAUAUUAAAGUUGCUGCAGUUUAAAGCUCGUAGUUGAAUUUCGGGAUCAAUAUGUUUGGUCGUGCCUUUGGUACGUACUAGCUUUUGGUUUCUCCCUCUGACGAACCAUGAUGUCAUUUUAUUUUGGGUGUUAUGAGGAAUCAGACUGUUACUUUUGAAAAAUUAGAGUGUUUUAAAGCAGGCUCAC
rnacentral:rRNA from 1 species